CCCAGUACUUAUUAUGAACUGUUGGGGGUGCAUCCUGGUGCCAGCACUGAGGAAGUUAAACGAGCUUUCUUCUCCAAGUCCAAAGAGGCAAAGGGAGAUAAGGGGAGUCCUGCCCCACCCCAGCUGCACCCAGACCGGGACCCUGGGAACCCAAGCCUGCACAGCCGCUUUGUGGAGCUGAGCGAGGCAUACCGUGUGCUCAGCCGUGAGCAGAGCCGCCGCAGCUAUGAUGACCAGCUCCGCUCAGGUAGUCCCCCAAAGUCUCCACGAACCACAGUCCAUGACAAGUCUGCCCACCAAACACACAGCUCCUGGACACCCCCCAACGCACAGUACUGGUCCCAGUUUCACAGCGUGAGGCCACAGGGGCCCCAGUUGAGGCAGCAGCAACACAAACAAAACAAACAAGUGCUGGGGUACUGCCUCCUCCUCAUGCUGGCGGGCAUGGGCCUGCACUACAUUGCCUUCAGGUGAUGCCUGUUCUCCCCG
rnacentral:lncRNA from 1 species